UGAAGAGAAGGAUUUUAGUGCCUCAAGUAGCAGACAUAUUAAGACCUUUCGGGCGGGGCCAGCAAUGGCGGAGCGCGCAGUCUCUGUCUGAAACCGAAGACAUGCCACGCCACACCGCGACAGGGGCCCGUUAUUUUCGGAAAGGACCCCUUCGGCAGAAGGGACAAGAGACAGGCUGUUGCAUCUAGGUGAAGGGAAGUGCUUCAGACUGUGGCGGCUGUCUCAGCUUGGUGGUUACACAGAACAGCCCAAUGGCGACAGCGACUUCGGCCCGGAGUUUAGGUCACUGACAGCAGGUGAUGGUUAGCACAUGUUCAGAACAAAGAGCAUUACACUUUGUUGAAAAAUUGAAGGAUGUCUUAAUUUUUGUUUUAUAGAUUGUGGUUGAUGUACUCUGAAUUGGUUGAUAAGUCAAAUAUCAUUCUCAAGAAUGAUAGCCACUAAACCCGUAUCCCCUCUGC